rnacentral:rRNA from 1 species
CACACCGCCCGUCAAGCCACCUGAGCAGAGAGUACCCGAAAUCGUGCAUCUAACCCGCAAGGGGGGAAAGCGCUGAAGGUAAGAUCUGUAAGGAGGGCU